GACGAACGCUGGCGGCGUGCUUAACACAUGCAGGUCGAGCGGAAAGGCCCUGCUUUUGUGCGGUGCUCGAGUGGCGAACGGGUGAGUAACACGUGAGUAACCUGCCCUUGUCUUUGGGAUAACUUCAGGAAACUGGGGCUAAUACCGGAUAGGAUCUCCUGAUGCAUGGUGGGGGUUGGAAAAUUUCGGCGGUUGUGGCUGGACUAGCGGCUUAUCCGCUUCUUGGUGGGGUAGUGGCUUACCAAGGGUUUGACGGGUAGCCGGCCUGGGAGGGGGACCGGCCACCAUGGGACUGAGAGACGGCGCAGACGCCUACGGGACGCAGCAGGGGGGAAUAUUGCGCAAUGGGCGGAAGCCAGAGGCAGCAACGCCGCGUGCGGGAUGACGGGCUACGGGUUGUAAACAGAUUUCGAAUGUGACGAAGAGGUAGUGACGGUAACGGGUAAAGAAGCACCGGCUAACUACGUG
rnacentral:rRNA from 1 species